UAGGGAAUCUUCGGCAAUGGACGAAAGUCUGACCGAGCAACGCCGCGUGAGUGAAGAAGGUUUUCGGAUCGUAAAACUCUGUUGUUAGAGAAGAACAAGGACGUUAGUAACUGCACGUCCCCUGACGGUAUCUAACCAGAAAGCCACGGCUAACUACGUGCCAGCAGCCGCGGUAAUACGUAGGUGGCAAGCGUUGUCCGGAUUUAUUGGGCGUAAAGCGAGCGCAGGCGGUUUCUUAAGUCUGAUGUGAAAGCCCCCGGCUCAACCGGGGAGGGUCAUUGGAAACUGGGAGACUUGAGUGCAGAAGAGGAGAGUGGAAUUCCAUGUGUAGCGGUGAAAUGCGUAGAUAUAUGGAGGAACACCAGUGGCGAAGGCGGCUCUCUGGUCUGUAACUGACGCUGAGGCUCGAAAGCGUGGGGAGCAAACAGG
rnacentral:rRNA from 1 species